AACGAACGCUGGCGGCAGGCUUAACACAUGCAAGUCGAACGCCCCGCAAGGGGAGUGGCAUACGUGUGAGUAACACGGGGGAACAUGCCCAAAGGUACGGAACAUGCUCGGGAGACUGAGAUCAAUACCGUAUGGCCCCGAAAGGGGAAAGAUUGUUCGCGAUUGGAUUGGCGCGCGUGGGAUUAGCUAGUUGGUUGGGUAAAAGCCUAUGAAGGCGACUAUAGGUAGAUGGUCUGAGAGGAAGAGCAGCCACACUGGGGCUAAGAAACGGCCCAGACUCCUACGGGAGGCAGGAGUGGGGGAUCUAGGAAAGUCGGGGGAAGCAUGAACGUGCCAUGCCGCGUGGAUGAUGAAGGCAGGAGGGUUGUAAAGUGCUUUCGUUGGGGACGAUAAUGACGGUACCCAAAGAAGAAGCUCCGGCUAACUUCGUG
rnacentral:rRNA from 1 species